UGGGGAAUAUUGGGCAAUGGGCGCAAGCCUGACCCAGCAACGCCGCGUGAGGGAAGAAGGCCUUCGGGUUGUAAACCUCUGUCCUUGGUGACGAAACAAAUGACGGUAGCCAAGGAGGAAGCCCCGGCUAACUACGUGUCAGCAGCCGCGGUAAUACGUAGGGGGCGAGCGUUGUCCGGAAUUACUGGGCGUAAAGGGUGCAUAGGUGGCCUUUUAAGUUGGAUGUGAAAUACCCGGGCUUAACUUGGGGGGUGCAUCUAAUACUGGGAGGCUAGAGUGCAGGAGAGGGAAGCGGAAUUCCUAGUGUAGCGGUGAAAUGCGUAGAUAUUAGGAGGAACACCAGUGGCGAAGGCGGCUUUCUGGACUGUAACUGACACUGAGGCACGAAAGCGUGGGGAGCAAACAG
rnacentral:rRNA from 1 species